GGCACGAUGGCGGAGUGGUUAACGCGGUGCCCUGCUAUUUAAUAGUGUAAGGCAUUUCCUUCGGGAGCGCAGGUUCGAAUCCUGCUCGUGUCG